rnacentral:rRNA from 1 species
AACGCGAAGAACCUUACCAGGGCUUAAAUGUAGAUUGACAGAUUUGGAAACAGGUUUUUCUUCGGACAAUUUACAAGGUGCUGCAUGGUUGUCGUCAGCUCGUGCCGUGAGGUGUCAGGUUAAGUCCUAUAACGAGCGCAACCCCUAUUGUUAGUUACCAUCGCGUAGUGGCGGGGACUCUAGCAAGACUGCCGGUGCAAACCGUGAGGAAGGUGGGGAUGACGUCAAAUCAUCACGGCCCUUACGUCCUGGGCUACACACGUGCUACAAUGGCAAGUACAGAAAGCAGCUACCUGGCAACAGGAUGCGAAUCUCCAAAGCUUGUCUCAGUUCGGAUUGGAGUCUGCAACUCGACUCUAUGAAGCUGGAAUCGCUAGUAAUCGGAUAUCAGCCAUGAUCCGGUGAAUACGUUCCCGGGUCUUGUACACACCG